AUUAUUGGGCGUAAAGAGCGUGUAGGCGGUUCGGUGAGUCUGCCGUGAAAACCUGGGGCUCAACCCCGGGCGUGCGGUGGAUACUGCCGGAGCUAGAGGGUGGUAGAGGCGAGUGGAAUUCCCGGUGUAGCGGUGAAAUGCGCAGAUAUCGGGAGGAACACCAGUAGCGAAGGCGGCUCGCUGGGCCAUUCCUGACGCUGAGACGCGAAAGCGUGGGGAGCGAACAGGAUUAGAUACCCUGGUAGUCCACGCCGUAAACGAUGAACACUAGGUGUUGGGGGAGUCGAAUCCCUCGGGUGCCGCCAGCCAACGCGUUAAGUGUUCCGCCUGGGGAGUACGGC
rnacentral:rRNA from 1 species